rnacentral:rRNA from 1 species
GAUGAACGCUGGCGGCGUGCUUAACACAUGCAAGUCGAACGGGAAACCUUUUAUUGAAGCUUCGGCAGAUUUAGCUGGUUUCUAGUGGCGGACGGGUGAGUAACGCGUGGGUAACCUGCCUUGUACAGGGGGAUAACAGUCAGAAAUGACUGCUAAUACCGCAUAAGCGCACGGAGCUGCAUGGCUCAGUGUGAAAAACUCCGGUGGUAUAAGAUGGACCCGCGUUGGAUUAGCUAGUUGGUGAGGUAACGGCCCACCAAGGCGACGAUCCAUAGCCGGCCUGAGAGGGUGAACGGCCACAUUGGGACUGAGACACGGCCCAGACUCCUACGGGAGGCAGCAGUGGGGAAUAUUGCACAAUGGGGGAAACCCUGAUGCAGCGACGCCGCGUGAAGGAAGAAGUAUCUCGGUAUGUAAACUUCUAUCUGCAGGGAAGAAAAUGACGGUACCUGACUAAGAAGCCCCGGCUAACUACGUGCCAGCAGCCGCGGUAA